GGAGGAAAGCAGGGGAUCGUAAGACCUUGCGCUUUUGGAGCGGCCGAUGCCUGAUUAGCUAGUUGGUGGGGUAAUGGCCUACCAAAGCUUCGAUCAGUAGCUGGUCUGAGAGGACGGCCAGCCACACUGGGACUGAGACACGGCCCAGACUCCUACGGGAGGCAGCAGUGGGGAAUUUUGGACAAUGGGCGCAAGCCUGAUCCAGCCAUGCCGCGUGAGUGAAGAAGGCCUUCGGGUUGUAAAGCUCUUUCAGCCGGGAAGAAAAGGUUGCGAUUAAUAAUCGCAAUUUAUGACGGUACCGGAAGAAGAAGCACCGGCUAACUACGUGCCAGCAGCCGCGGUAAUACGUAGGGUGCGAGCGUUAAUCGGAAUUACUGGGCGUAAAGGGUGCGCAGGCGGUUUUGUAAGUCAGAUGUGAAAUCCCCGGGCUUAACCUGGGAACUGCGUUUGAAACUACAAGGCUA
rnacentral:rRNA from 1 species